GACGAACCGAGCGAACGUUAUUCGGAAUCACUGGGCUUAAAGGGCGCGUAGGCGGGCGGCCAAGUCAGGGGUGAAAGCCCCCAGCUCAACUGGGGAAGUGCCUCUGAUACUGGUCGCCUCGAGGGAGAUAGGGGCGUGCGGAACUUCCGGUGGAGCGGUGAAAUGCGUAGAUAUCAUCUGGAACGCCAAUGGUGCAGACAGGCUGCUGGGAAUGAACUGACGCUGAGGCACGAAAGCUAGGGGAGCGAACGGG
rnacentral:rRNA from 1 species